AAGAGCACAUUUACAGGCUGAAUUAGGCCCAAGGGCCAUGAAUUUGAAAACUUGACUUUUCUAAUCUAACAUCAAAAAAUCAAAUUAUAAGAACAGAAAGGGUUUAAAAAUUGAAUAAAUGGAAUGCUUAUCCAGUUCUCUCAGAGAGAUAUAAAACCUCUCUUAACGAGUGACUAUGUAAAAUAUACCUUUAUUAUGCUCAAUAACUAUAAGACUUAGCAUCAUAUAUAAAGCAUGGAUAUACCUUUAUGCUCAAUAACUACCGUCUUUAGCAUCAUAUAUCAUAUAUAACAUAGAUGACUGAACUUUAUAAUACUGGCAUACACAGACAUUCAAGGGGUCAUGAAUAACUGAUGAAGGAUACGACCAUCACACAAUUUCUGAAAUCAAAAGCCUGAAUUUAUUUCUUACUUAAGUAAGGGAGAGUUUUGCUGGUCAGGCAGAGUCUCUCUGAGCAAAACAAACUGCUGAUUUAGUGGAUGGGUUUGUUUUGAGGUUCCAUUUGUCUAAGAGACAGUAAGUCAGCCCUUGAAACAUGUUCAGAGUCAGCAGCUUCCCACUGGCUGACUGUCAAAGUGUGAUACUGUCACUGAUUGGCUGGCAUUCAGAGAGUAAUCAGUGAUGGAUAAAACAGCUUUAGAUCCUGUUCUGGGGUUUGAUUGUUAACCAUGGCUAGAGAAUGGGCUGUCUUCCUAGAAGCAUGGGGGCUUUUUGUGAAUUCUCAGAACUAACUCUGUAAAACUAAUAGAGGACAUGGCAAAGGUUACAUUGUCAGGGCCUCACAUGGUCAUAGAUGCUAUUUCACAAUGGGCUAUGAGCAUAUUACCACAUGGGGUGUGGCUCCCCUGUGAAGUCACGGCUGUCCAAGUAUAAAGUCAGGGCCACUUCCCAUCUCAACCUAAGAAAAGCUCUAUCAAUGUAGACAGGUGGAUCUUGCUCCUCUGAAGGGUAAUGUUCCCACCCUCAUGAACUACAAAAACCUAGCAUUUGCAGAGUGCAUGACUAUUACAGGAAUGCAUUACAGCCAAGGAAAACAAACCAGCAGUUCCCUCAGCCUCCCCAUUUCUUCUGUGAAAAAUGCCAGUUAAGUCCUCUGGCUGAUCCAGGAAAAAACGAUGAUUAAAUGCAAGGUUCUUUACUUCAGAAAACAUCAACACCAGACUCAAUACACCCUUAUAUGAUAAAAUGUUUUUGUAGUUCACAACUACUGAAAUAGCAAUCAAUUUGUGUCCCCAUACCAGGCUUUCCUCCUUUCAAUUCAUUCUCUAAAAUGUAGGUAACCGGGAAGAUAUGUUUUAAAUGAAUUUUGAUCUUUCACUUACUUUAACUCUUUAAUGGCUUCUCAGGAUAAAGUCCAAAUUCAAACAUGCAGUGCCGUGAGUAAUUUAGCACUGGCCUACCUUUCUGACAUCUGUUUAGACCAUUCUCUCCUCUGAACACUUGUAUUUCAGAAAGUGGUCCAAACCAAGCUUUGAAAGGUAGGCUGGUGAUAGAUUGCUUAGUUUUCUAUAAGCCAUCUUAGAUGCCCCC
rnacentral:lncRNA from 1 species